AGAGUUUGAUCCUGGCUCAGAAUCAACGCUGGCGGCGCGCUUAACACAUGCAAGUCGAACGGGAAAGUGGGGCAACCCAUGAGUACAGUGGCGCACGGGUGAGUAACACGUGGAUGAUCUACCUCCUGGUGGGGAAUAACCCUGGGAAACCGGGGCUAAUACCGCAUAAGCCUGAGAAGGGAAAGGCGCAAGCCGCCGGGAGAGGAGUCCGCGGCCGAUUAGCUAGUUGGCGGGGUAAAAGCCCACCAAGGCGAAGAUCGGUAGCCGGCCUGAGAGGGCACACGGCCACACUGGCACUGAAACACGGGCCAGACUCCUACGGGAGGCAGCAGUGGGGAAUCUUGCACAAUGGGGGGAAACCCUGAUGCAGCGACGCCGGUGAGCGAUGAAGCCCUUCGGGGUGUAAAGCUCUUUCAACAGGAACGAUGAUGACGGUACCUGGAGAAGAAGCUGCGGCUAACUACGUGCCAGCAGCCGCGGUAAUACGUAGGCAGCGAGCGUUGUUCGGAGUUAGUGGGCGUAAAGAGUAUGUAUGCGGCCGGUCAAGUCUGGUGUGAAAUCUCCCGGCUCAACUGGGAGGGUGCGCUAUAAACUGGCUGGCUGGAGCGUGGGAGAGGAAAGCGGAAUUCCUGGUGUAGCGGUGAAAUGCGUAGAUAUCAUGAGGAACACCUGCGGUGAAUGCGGCUUUCUGGACCACGGCUGACGCUGAGAUACAAAAGCGUGGGUAGCAAACACGAUUACAUACCCUGGUAGUCCACGCCCUAAACGAUGCGCACUUGGUGUGAGCCAUUCAGUUGGUUCGUGCCGGAGCUAACGCGUUAAGUGCGCCGCCUGGGGAGUACGGUCGCUAGGCUGAAACUCAGAGGAAUUGACGG
rnacentral:rRNA from 1 species